CCCUUAGAUGUUCUGGGCCGCACGCGCGCUACACUGUUCGACGCAGCGAGUCUUAACCUUGACCGAAAGGUUUGGGUAAUCUUCAGCAAAGUCGAACGUGAUGGGGAUCGAUCAUUGCAAUUAUUGAUCGUGAACGAGGAAUUCCUAGUAAGUGCAAGUCAUCAGCUUGCGCUGAUUACGUCCCUGCCCUUUGUACACACCGCCCGUCGCUACUACCGAUUGAAUGGUUUAGUGAGAUCUCUGGAUUGACGCUGGCUAGGGGGCGACCCUUGGCCAGACUGUUGAGAAACUGCUCAAACUUGAUCAUUUAGAGAAAGUAAAAGUCGUAACA
rnacentral:rRNA from 1 species